UUUAAUAUAGCAAAAUUAAAUGCAUAAAACUUAAAAUUUUAUUUUAAAUUAAUUAUUUUAUUAAAA
rnacentral:tRNA from 1 species